rnacentral:rRNA from 1 species
ACCCUUAACUCGGAUAAAUGUUUUACAGUUGGAAUAAAGGGGCAACCGAAACAGAAGUGUACUGUGGUCAUCCCAGAGACCUUCCGUAUCGGUUCGCGCUCGUGUCCUGCAUUGAAGCGCACAGACGAGUGGAAGUAUUUAGGCAUAACAUUCACUGCACAAGGGAGGACCAGGUACAGUCCAGCCGACGACCUAGGUCCGAAGCUGUUGAGGCUGACAAGGUCCCCCCUAAAACCACAACAGAAAUUGUUCGCACUCAGAACAGUUCUUAUCCCACAACUUUACCAUAAGCUGACCCUAGGUAGUGUGAUGAUAGGUGUUCUGAGAAAGUGUGACAUACUGGUACGUUCGACCGUAAGGAAGUGGUUAGGGCUUCCUCUGGACGUGUCAACUGCAUUCUUCCAUGCUCCUCAUACUUAUGGGGGCCUCGGAAUCCCUUCAGUUCGUUGGGUAGCGCCAAUGCUACGUAUGAAAAGAUUGAGCAAUAUUAAGUGGGCCCACCUCGCGCAAUCCGAGGCGGCCAGCUCAUUUCUUACCGACGAAUUGAAUAAGGCCCGGGGUAGAACUCUGGCUGGACUGAAUGAGUUGACAUCGCGUACAGAGAUCGAAACGUACUGGGCGAACAGGUUGUAUAUGUCUGUUGAUGGUCGCGGCUUACGUGAAGCGGGACUUUUUCGUCCCCAACACGGCUGGGUGUGUCAGCCCACGCGUUUGCUAACAGGUCAAGAUUACCGAAACAGUAUCAAGCUGCGAAUAAAUGCCCUACCAUCGAGGUCUCGUACCACGAGGGGCAGAAAUGAAUUGGAACGGCAAUGUCGUGCAGGUUGUGAUGCUCCCGAAACAACAAACCACAUCCUGCAGAAUUGUUACCGUACGCAUGGGAGGCGGGUAGCAAGACAUAACUGUGUAGUCAAUAACCUUAAGAGGAUUCUUGAGGAGAAGGGCCACACAGUACACGUCGAACCAAGUUUGCAGCUGGAAACCUCGGUAAGUAAACCAGACCUGGUGUGUAUCCGUGACAAUCACGCUUGCGUGAUUGAUGCGCAGAUUAUAACGGAUGGACUGUUUCUCGACGAUGUGCACCAUCGCAAAGUUGAGAAAUAUAAAAGACCGGAAGUUAUAUCUGCACUGCGGAGAGAAUUCGGAGUGUCGGGCAACGUCGAAGUCCUAUCCGCGACGUUAAACUGGCGUGGGAUCUGGAGCAAUCAAUCCGUUAGAAGAUUGAUAGCAAAGGGUCUCAUCUCAUCCGGUGACAGCAAUGUCAUUAGCGCCAGAGUGGUAACAGGCGGACUAUAUUGCUUCAGACAGUUCAUGUAUCUCGCAGGUUACACUCGAGAUUGGACUUAGCCUAUACACUAUGUUGGAGAGAAGACGCUUGCUACCUAGGCAAAAUGUGAAAUUAGGUAUAAACAUCGUGGUUGUAAAACUUGAGGUGGGUUUUUAGUACGUAUGCGUGAUUACUUCGUAAUCAUGAAUCGUGCAUGCUAGUGGGGUUUGGCCUCCACUAGUAUCUUUGAAGAUUUUCCUUCCUCAGCGAUCAAAAAAAAAAAAAAAAAAAAAAAAAUAGCCAAAUGCCUCGUCAUCUAAUUAGUGACGCGCAUGAAUGGAUUAACGAGAUUCCUACUGUCCCUAUCUACUAUCUAGCGAAACCACAGCCAAGGGAACGGGCUUGGAAUAAUUAGCGGGGAAAGAAGACCCUUUUGAGCUUGACUCUAAUCUGGCAGUGUAAGGAGACAUAAGAGGUGUAGCAUAAGUGGGAGAUAUUAGAUUUCGGUUUGGUAUCGACAAUGAAAUACCACUACUCUUAUUGUUUCCUUACUUACUUGAUUAAAUGGAACGUGUAUCAUUUCCUAGCCAUUAUACGGAUAUAUUUAUUAUAUCUUAUGGUAUUGGGUUUUGAUGCAAGCUUCUUGAUCAAAGUAUCACGAGUUUGUUAUAUAAUCGCAAACAAAUUCUUUAAUGAGAAAAUGCAUUUAUGUAUUUUCAAUUUGAAAAUUUGGUAUAACUCCAAUUACUCAGGUAUGAUCCAAUUCAAGGACAUUGCCAGGUAGGGAGUUUGACUGGGGCGGUACAUCUCUCAAAUAAUAACGGAGGUGUCCCAAGGCCAGCUCAGUGCGGACAGAAACCACACAUAGAGCAAAAGGGCAAAUGCUGACUUGAUCUCGGUGUUCAGUACACACAGGGACAGCAAAAGCUCGGCCUAUCGAUCCUUUUGGUUUAAAGAGUUUUUAACAAGAGGUGUCAGAAAAGUUACCAUAGGGAUAACUGGCUUGUGGCGGCCAAGCGUUCAUAGCGACGUCGCUUUUUGAUCCUUCGAUGUCGGCUCUUCCUAUCAUUGUGAAGCAAAAUUCACCAAGCGUUGGAUUGUUCACCCAUGCAAGGGAACGUGAGCUGGGUUUAGACCGUCGUGAGACAGGUUAGUUUUACCCUACUAAUGACAAAACGUUGUUGCGACAGCAUUCCUGCGUAGUACGAGAGGAACCGCAGGUACGGACCAAUGGCACAAUACUUGUUCGAGCGAACAGUGGUAUGACGCUACGUCCGUUGGAUUAUGCCUGAACGCCUCUAAGGUCGUAUCCGUGCUGGACUGCAAUGAUAAAUAAGGGGCAAUUUGCAUUGU